AAAUGUGAGGGUGAUCUGGCUGCAGCAUCUGUCACCCCAUUGAUCAUCAGGGUUGAUUCGGCUGAUCUGGCUGGCUGGGCGGGUGUCCCCUUCCUUCCUCAUAGCUCCAUGUGCAUCCCUCCCAAAGCUGCACACUAGGUCAGUCGCAGAGGACGGCCUUCCCCGAAUAGAAGAGGACCGGUCUUUGGUCAAGGGUUUAUGAGUAGCUGUGCUCCCCUGCUGGAGCCUCCAAACAAGGUCUCAAAAUGGAAGUUGGAAAAUGUAUUGCUUUGGGGAAGAGGCUGUGCUUUUGUUUCCACAGGC
ensembl:misc_RNA 7SK 7SK RNA